rnacentral:rRNA from 1 species
CGUAGGGUGCAAGCGUUAAUCGGAAUUACUGGGCGUAAAGCGUGCGCAGGCGGUUUUGUAAGACAGGCGUGAAAUCCCCGGGCUCAACCUGGGAACUGCGUUUGUGACUGCAAGGCUAGAGUAUGGCAGAGGGGGGUGGAAUUCCACGUGUAGCAGUGAAAUGCGUAGAGAUGUGGAGGAACACCGAUGGCGAAGGCAGCCCCCUGGGCCAAUACUGACGCUCAUGCACGAAAGCGUGGGUAGCAAACAGGAUUAGAUACCCUGGUAGUCCACGCCCUAAACGAUGUCAACUAGGUGUUGGGUGGGUAAAACCAUUUAGUACCGGAGCUAACGCGUGAAGUUGACCGCCUGGGGAGUACGGCCGCAAGGUUA